GGUUCUGCGCGUGCGCACGGGCGGAGGCGCGCCGAGGACUCGCUGGAGCGGGCAGGUGGAGGGAGGAGUGGUCCCGGGAGUAACUGCCAGCAGUUGGUGCGCCACAGGUCCGGGGGCGCCCGCGUUCCCGAGCCUCGGAGGCCUGAACGCGUUCGGAACGUGGCUUUUUUUGUGCGGGGGCGUGACCUGAGCCCGCCUCCUCGGCUGGGAGUGGAGGAGAAUGGGGAUCGCUGAGGCCUUUAAUUAAUCUGGUGCCUGUUGUUUGUGUGCCCGAGGAGAUGACACAUGGGGUCUCAGCACUCCUCUGCCCUCACAUUUUGUCAGCGAAAGAAGGAUGACAACCCGGAGGACUUGCUGGCUGAUAGAGAUCAGGAGGAAGCCAUCGCUCAGUUCCCCUAUGUGGAGUUCACUGGGAGAAAUAGCAUCACCUGUCACACCUGCCAAGGAGCAGGCUACAUCCCAGCAGCUUUUCUUAUCCUGUCUCUACAUUUACCCGUUCCUUCAUCCAACCAAAAGUGUACGUUUUAGUGUCUAAGCCCAGCUGAAUCUCAGCUGUGCCAGUUGACGGCGAAAUGUGACAAGAAGAGGAAGGGCCACUCAUACCUGGGGUUUACAGAAUGAGUCUGUGUUUGCUGCUUUUCUAGAGCAAGUCAAUGAGUUGGUGGCUUUGAUCCCCCACAGUGACCAGAGGCUGCGUCCUCAGAGAACAAAACAGUAUGUCCUCCUGUCGGUCCUGCUGUGUCUCCUGGCAUCUGGCCUGGUGUUCUUCUUUCUGUUUCCACACUCGGUCCUCGUGGACGAUAACGGCAUCAAAGUGACAAAAGUCACGUUUAAUGAACAGGACUCCCUUGUGGUCCUUGAUGUCACGGCCACCCUGAAGAUCAGGAACUCCAACUUCUAUCCUGUGGCGGUCACCAACCUGUUCAGCCAGGUCCAGUACAUGAAGGCUGUGGUCGGCUCGUACACAACCACGAAUGUCUCACUCAUUGCCCCUAGGAGUGAGCACCUGGUGAAUUUUACCGUGAAGGCUGAGGUGGGAGGACCGUCUUCCUAUGUGUACUUCUACUGCACACUCCCUGCCAUCCGGGUACACAACAUUGUGAUCUUCAUGAGGACUUCUGUGAAGAUUUCAUACAUUGGCCACAUAUCCCAGAGCACCUUGGAGACACAGCACUAUGUGGAUUGUGGGGUGAAUUCCACAGCUGCUCAGAGCCUGUUCUUGGUUCCUCGGGGGCCACACCUGUAGAAGGAAGCCUAACAUCUGUCCCUAUGGCUGGCCCAUUUACCACAUGGUAUAAGUAGAGGAGGAAGAAGAAACCCGCAGAAAGCAUCCUCCCACACUUAGGGGAAAGCCGCCCCUUCCAACGAAACCACUGUCCAGUGCCUAGUCUGUGCCUAGCAAAUAGUUAGCACUCAACUACAGGUUGAAGAAUUGGAUUCAGAUAUUCUGGCUGCUCUUGAGUCAUUAUAAGUUGAGAUGAACCAGGGUUCCAGGUUUUCAGACCAGAGUAACAUGAAGGUAGGUUGCUAGUGCAGCUGCAGACGUAUGGGUGUGGUGUCCAGGACACCCACCCGUGAGGAGCCCUCAGCGGCUGCCUCUGCAUCUGUUCCCUAAUACCUCCCCCUCCCGCCUCACCCCACCCCCGCUUUUUGGAAAGUUUUUGGCGUUUCUUUUCCUUCCCCAUACAAAGUGAUUACAGUUUCCCCCGCAAGGGUCUAUCGAAGGGCUUGACGGACCUUUGAUCCACUGGCUGGAUAUAGAUUGGGAAUUUGAUAGAAAAAUAAACCCUGCUUUUGAUUGA